rnacentral:rRNA from 1 species
UACGGAGAGUGCGAGCGUUGUUCGGAAUCAUUGGGCGUAAAGGGCGUCUAGGCGGUUUGGCAAGUCAGAUGUGAAAGCCCUCGGCUUAACCGGGGAUGUGCAUUUGAAACUGCUAAGCUUGAGUGUCGGAGGGGGUAGCGGAAUUCCCGGUGUAGAGGUGAAAUUCGUAGAUAUCGGGAGGAACACCAGUGGCGAAGGCGGCUACCUGGCCGAACACUGACGCUGAAGCGCGAAAGCGUGGGGAGCAAACAGG